UAACCCCUGCAGUGUUCGUACAGGAAGUAAUGUUUGAAAGAACCGAUACCCGUACUCAGGGAAAUCAGGCCUUGAUGGAUCGGAAAUGCCUACUCGAUAGGACUUUCGGACACAAGUAACGAUUGCCCACUUAGAAGUAAUGGGUUCUUCUCAAGCGCUUUCUUACGGCACCGGCGGAGGUGAG
rnacentral:other from 1 species